AGCAGCCGCGGUAAUUCCAGCUCCAAUAGCGUAUAUUAAAGUUGUUGCAGUUAAAAAGCUCGUAGUUGAAUUUCGGGAUCAAGGAAUCGGUCAUGCCUUGGUAUGUACUGGUUUUAUUGGUUCUCACCUUCUAAAGAACCAUGAUGUCAUUCAUUUGAUGUUAUGGGGAAUUAGGACUGUUACCUUGAAAAAAUUAGAGUGUUUAAAGCAAGCUUACGCUUGAAUACAUUAGCAUGGAAUAAUGAAAUAGGACAUCAGAUUCUAUUUUGUUGGUUUCUAGGAUCGAUGUAAUGAUUAAUAGGGAUAGUUGGGGGCAUUAGUAUUCAAUUGUCAGAGGUGAAAUUCUUGGAUUUAUUGAAGACUAACUACUGCGAAAGCAUUUGCCAAGGAUGUUUUCAUUAAUCAAGAACGAAAGUUAGGGGAUCGAAGACGAUCAGAUACCGUCGUAGUCUUAACCAUAAACUAUGCCGACUAGGGAUCGGAUGAUGUUAAUUUUUAAUGACUCU
rnacentral:rRNA from 1 species